rnacentral:rRNA from 1 species
GACGUUACCUACAGAAGAAGCACCGGCUAACUCCGUGCCAGCAGCCGCGGUAAUACGGAGGGUGCGAGCGUUAAUCGGAAUUACUGGGCGUAAAGCGCAUGCAGGCGGCCUGUUAAGUCAGAUGUGAAAGACCCGGGGCGUUAACCUCGGAAUUGCAUUUGAAACUGGCAGGCUAGAGUCUUGUAGAGGGGGGUAGGAAUUUCAGGUGUAGCGGUGAAAUAGCGUAGAGAUCUGAAGGAAUACCAGUGGCGAAGGCGGCCCCCUGGACAAAGACUGACGCUCAGAUGCGAAAGCGUGGGGAGCAAACAGGAUUAGAUACCCUGGUAG